GUUGAUAAUGAUGGAGUUGUCGGGGCUGCUGAGUUUGUCAUAUAUAAGCUUAAAGAGAUGGGUAAGAUCACAGAUGAAGAUAUCUCACUUGAAAUAGAAGAGUUUGAGGAUCUUGAUAUCGAUCAAUCAGGAACUUUAUCAGCAUCGGAUUUACUGGUUGCUCAAACAACACAAACGAAGUGGUGAACUGAAACGUCACAUAUAAGGGCUAUUUCAUGAGUUUUUAGAAUCUACUUUAGCUUGUAUAUCAUGUGUUUGUAUCUUUAGGGUUAUCCGAGUUGUUCUCUCAUUUUCCCUGGUCUGCCAUAAAUUUGCUCAGCAC
rnacentral:misc_RNA from 1 species